GUGUUACACAGGCCACAAGUAAAAUCAGCCCAUGCUGGUAUGAUGUAACUUUCUGGCAGCUUCAGGUUUUGCUCUUCUCUUGCUUGCUGACCCACAGCCUGUACCAAGGCUUAUCAUACUCUGGCUGUUAGAAAAAAACUUCCUGAAAGUUUGCAAUACCACUGGGAGAGUGAGAACAUACACUCUUUUGUUCCUCUGCCUCCAGUCUAGGAAGAAAUACUUGCAGAUUUCCUGGUUUAGGAAAAUAGAAGUUAUUCAGUGUGACAGAAAACAUGUCUGAAAUUACAAAUCUCCUGUCAACAGGAUUCUUAAAUUAAUCGGUCUGCUCUUUGAAGCUUUUUCUUCUUCAGUAUAAAGAAGUUUAUGAGCUCAAAUGUCUUGCCCUCAUAACAUGUUAUGUGAAAGCACAAAGCAACUUAUAUAACAACAGUGUAAUUUAGAACUUAUAUCACGUCUGAGACUAGGCAAGAAGAUUACUUUGAAAAAUGAAGACUUAAACAUUUAUGGAGAUUCAAUGAAGCAAAAUAUUUAUUGAAAUAUAUUGAUUUUCAUUAGAAUGCUAUUGUGAAGAAAAUUGUGACUUUCUACUUAAAAGUAAUUGGUGGGGAAAAGUUGUAUAACAUUUGACAGGUAUAAUUCAGGCAGAGAGCUAUUGUUUUAUUACUUGUUUUUUUCAGAUGAAUAAAUGAAUAUUUAAUUGCAACUAUGUAGCUAGCUAAGAAGAAAAAUUAUUCAAAGAUUAGAUUUAACUCGAGUCAUAUCUCAAAAUUAUUGCACAAUCAUAUAAGCCAUGCCUGUAAAUCUCUUUUUGCAA